rnacentral:rRNA from 1 species
UACGGAGGGAGCUAGCGUUGUUCGGAAUUACUGGGCGUAAAGCGCACGUAGGCGGCUUUGUAAGUUAGGGGUGAAAGCCUGGAGCUCAACUUCAGAAUUGCCCUUAAGACUGCAUCGCUUGAAUCCAGGAGAGGUGAGUGGAAUUCCGAGUGUAGAGGUGAAAUUCGUAGAUAUUCGGAAGAACACCAGUGGCGAAGGCGACUAACUGGACAUGUAUUGACGCUGAGGUGCGAAAGCGUGGGGAGCAAACAGG